GGUCAGGACGAACGCUGGCGGCGUGCCUAACACAUGCAAGUCGAGCGAGGAGAUUCCUCGGGAUGAUCCUAGCGGCGGACGGGUGAGUAACACGUGGGCAACCUGCCUCAUAGAGAGGAAUAGCCUUCCGAAAGGGAGAUUAAUACCUCAUAACAUUGCAGUUUCGCAUGGAACAGCAAUUAAAGGAGCAAUCCGCUAUGAGAUGGGCCCGCGGCGCAUUAGCUAGUUGGUGAGGUAACGGCUCACCAAGGCGACGAUGCGUAGCCGACCUGAGAGGGUGAUCGGCCACAUUGGGACUGAGACACGGCCCAGACUCCUACGGGAGGCAGCAGUGGGGAAUAUUGCACAAUGGGGGAAACCCUGAUGCAGCCAACGCCGCGUGAGUGAUGACGGCCUUCGGGUUGUAAAGCUCUGUCUUCAGGGACGAUAAUGACGGUACCUGAGGAGGAAGCCACGGCUAACUACGUGCCAGCAGCAGC
rnacentral:rRNA from 1 species